rnacentral:rRNA from 1 species
CAAUAGCGUAUAUUAAAGUUGUUGCAGUUAAAAAGCUCGUAGUUGGAUUUCUGGUAGGAGUGACCGUUCCGAACUUGAUUGUUCGUGUAUUGUGUUUUCUCCAGCCAUCCUUGUGGAGAACUUUUCUUGCAUUAAUUUGUAGGGAUUGGGACCCGCAUCGUUUACUGUGAAAAAAUUAGAGUGUUUAAAGCAGGCAAUCGCUUGAAUACAUUAGCAUGGAAUAAUAAGAUAGGACUUUGGUACUAUUUUGUUGGCUUGCAUACCAAAUUAAUGAUCAACAGGAACAGUUUGAGGAUAUUCGUAUGAACAUGUCAGAGGUGAAAUUCUUGGAUUUUGAUCAGACGAACUACUGCGAAAGCAUUUAUCAAGGAUGUUUUCAUUAA